AUUUGAUUUCCAUUGAUAAUUUUUGUGAUUUUGUUGUCAGCACAUUCAACUCUGUAAAGAAAAAAGUAUUUAAUAAGAAUAUUUCAUUAAUUCAGAUCUAGGAUGUGUUAUUUUAGUGUUCCCUUUAUUUUUUUGAGCAGUGUAUAUAUUUACCAACCAAAUAUAUGGGGGAUUGGAAAUGAUGCAGACAAUUACAUUGAUGGAACCAAUACUCUUUCCACAAUAUUAAGCUGAUCCACCCCUUAAAAAAAUAAAGACAAAAUAAAUGUAUCAAAGAAAUCACUUAGUUUUAGCUCGGUCCGUCUUCUCUCUUUUGCUUGAUGUCAUUCUCUCCCCCUUCUCUCUCACAGUGUGCCUUCAUGCUCCUUUUAUUUAGCCUCCACGGCUGGUUGGCACUUUCCUCUAAUUACCUCCACUGAGAGCUGUCCGUGUCGGGGUGCCUGUCACCAGAAUUUUCAAUCCCAAUGAUAAUAACUAACAAUAAAUAGCUUUGACCAAUCCCCGAGGUUUAUAAGACCCUGGGUAUAAUAAUAAUUAGGCAAAGACUCAGCUUAUGCAAAAGGUUAGUCCAUUAUACAAACACAGUCUUUAUAACACACACAAACAGGUUCAAAUCUUAAACUAGACAGACAGUCAGUGUUUUUCCACUACACAGAUACAUUGUUUAAUCUGCAACAUGUUUCAUAAUCUUCUGCCAGCCUAACAGUUUCUCCCCUCCACGGGUAGAGACAGAAUGUCCUGUAAGGAACACAGAAGUCCAGCUUGUCUGUCGAUAGCUCCUCUUAUCAUUUGUUUCCCACUUGCACCCUGCUUACAUACUAAAAAGGAACAAAAGGUCCUUGUUCUAAUUCUGACUAAAACUACACGCAUCAUCAGGUUAUAGUUUUAUGAUUCUAAUCAAUUUCAUACAAUUAUAUGGUUUCAGAGUGGAAUUAUUUAAUCGUUAUCUUUAAACAAAUAAAUUAUUUUAUCAGUGCCCAGCUCCCGUAUUCCCGGCAGACGGAGCCAACGCCGCCUCACGUACCUCCCCUUUAUUACCACCCCCCAGGGUAGACCUCCUGGGAUACCACAGUGUCCUUUAGUAAUGGUUUCUUUGCAGCAAUUUGACCAUGAAGGCCUGAUUCACACAGUCUCAUCUGAACAGUUGAUGUUGAGAUGUGUCUGUUACUUGAACUCUGAAUCAUUUAUUUGGGCUGCAAUUUCUGAGGCUGGUAACUCUAAUGAACUUAUCCUCUACAACAGAGGUAACUCUGGGCCUUCCUUUCCUGUGGCGGUCCUCAUGAGAGCUACUUUCAUCUUAGCACUUGAUGGUUUUUGCAACUGCACUUGAAGAAACUUUCAAAGUUCUUGAAAUUUUCUGGAUAGACUGACCUUCAUGUCUGAAAGUAAUGGACUGUGUCUCUUUGCUUAUUUGAGCUCUUCUUGUCAUAAUAUGGACUUGGUCAUUUACCAAAAAGGCUAUCUUCUGUAUACCACCCCUACCUUUUCACAACACAACAGAUAGGCUCAAAAGCAUUAAGCAAAUAAAGAAUAGAAAUUGAAGAAUAUAAAAUAUGUAUUUGUUUAACGCUUUUGGUUACCACAUGAUUCCAUGUUUGUUAUUUCAGAGUUUUGAUGUCUUCACUAUUAUUCUACAAUGUAGAAAAUAGUAAAGAAAAACCCUGGAAUGAGUAGGUCUGUCCAAACUGGUACUGUAGGCCAACAGUAAUAGUGUUAUAUAGGCCAAUAGUAAUACUGUUAUAUAGGCCAACAGUAAUAGUGUUAUAUAGGCCAACAGUAAUAGUGUUAUAUAGACCAAUAGUAAUAGUGUUAUAUAGACCAACAGUAAUAGUGUUAUAUAGGCCAAUAGUAAUAGUGUUAUAUAGACCAACAGUAAUAGUGUUAUAUAGACCAACAGUAAUAGUGUUAUAUAGACCAAUAGUAAUAGUGUUAUAUAGGCCAACAGUAAUAGUGUUAUAUAGACCAAUAGUAAUAGUGUUAUAUAGACCAACAGUAAUAGUGUUAUAUAGGCCAAUAGUAAUAGUGUUAUAUAGACCAACAGUAAUAGUGUUAUAUAGACCAACAGUAAUAGUGUUAUAUAGGCCAAUAGUAAUAGUGUUAUAUAGGCCAACAGUAAUAGUGUUAUAUAGACCAACAGUAAUAGUGUUAUAUAGACCAACAGUAAUAGUGUUAUAUAGGCCAAUAGUAAUACUGUUAUAUAGACCAACAGUAAUAGUGUUAUAUAGGCCAACAGUAAUAGUGUUAUAUAGACCAACAGUAAUAGUGUUAUAUAGGCCAACAGUAAUAGUGUUAUAUAGACCAACAGUAAUAGUGUUAUAUAGACCAACAGUAAUAGUGUUAUAUAGACCAACAGUAAUAGUGUUAUAUAGACCAACAGUAAUAGUGUUACCAACUGUAAGUGUGCUGUUUAAAAAGUGUUUACCAUUAUGUCAUGUGUAGUGCACUGUCCCAAUCAUCCUAUGUAGCCUUUUUUACUCAUAUUCCACUGUCUUGCAAUGUUGAAGUUUGGGAGAAUUAUGGAAAAGCAGAGUAGCAUUAAUCCAUCAUGCAAUCAUGUUUUAUCUUGUAAUGCAUCAUGUUUUAUAUUGUAAUGCAUCAUGUUUUAUCUUGUAAUGCAUCAUGUUUUAUCUUGUAAUGCAUCAUGUUUUAUCUUGUAAUGCAUCAUGUUUUAUAUUGUAAUGCAUCAUGUUUUAUCUUGUAAUGCAUCAUGUUUUAUAUUGUAAUGCAUCAUGUUUUAUAUUGUAAUGCAUCAUGUUUUAUAUUGUAAUGCAUCAUGUUUUAUAUUGUAAUGCAUCAUGUUUUAUCUUGU
ensembl:lncRNA